AAUCUGAAUCCAAUCUUCGGGGACGCGCAGCUCUCUCUGGUACCACCCCCUUCCCCAUUUCGGUCUCUCUCUCCUUAUUUCUCCUUCUCUUGCAGUGUGAUGUGUGGUCAUAUGACAGGGUCUGAAUACCAACACACUCGACAUGAGCGAGGAGGCGUAAACCGGAGAAAACAAGUGGCUAAGUGUGUGUCGCGGACACUGAGAGAGCGCGAGCUGUUACUGGGGACACGCCUAUCUGACUGAAACUGCGGAGAAGAAACUUAGUUUAAAGCAACGGGGGACACUAACUAACUAACUUUAACUAUAGUUUAGGCAUAUCCAACCCAGCGAAGUUAAAAAACAUAUAUAUUUACAAAUCGCAUCGUGUUAUUGCUUUCCCCUUUUCUGAGCGGUGUGUGCCCAAAUCUCAGAAUCGGAGGAGGCUGGGGCUUGAGGAAGCAGUUUGGACAUACUUUUACUUUAAAGUUAUCAUUUUUUUUGCUAAGCGUCAUUCUAGAGCGUCAGACCUGAUUUUGGCUGGUAAACUUGAGUUGUUAGUUUGACAAUGGUCGGUGAGUUGAAUGAGCAGGUCCGGGAAAGACCCAGACCAAGGCCCAGCCCGGACUACCUGAUGCAGUUGAUGACAGACCGGAAGGUGAUGAGCUCGCUGCCCAACUUCACUGGCAUCUUCACUCACCUGGAGCGGCUCUUAGACGAAGAGAUAGGUAGAGUGCGCAAGGACAUGUAUAACGACUCAAUGAAUGGCGGUGUGGCUGCCGAGGGGCGGGACUCCGAGGAGCUGCCUGAUGGGAUUGGUCCAGUGGCUCAGCUGCAGGAGAAGCUCUACGUGCCCGUUAAAGAGUACCCCGACUUUAACUUUGUAGGUAGGAUACUGGGUCCAAGGGGCCUAACAGCCAAACAGCUGGAGGCGGAGAUGGGCUGUAAGAUCAUGGUACGAGGAAAAGGAUCCAUGAGAGACAAGAAGAAGGAAGAGCUGAACAGAGGGAAACCUAACUGGGAACACCUAAGUGAGGAACUUCAUGUUCUCAUCACAGUGGAAGACUCACACAACAGAGCUCAGAUCAAACUACAAAGAGCUACCGCAGAGGUCAAGAAACUGCUCGUACCAGCUGCUGAUGGAGAGGACAGUCUAAAAAAGAUGCAGCUAAUGGAGCUCGCCAUUCUAAACGGAACCUACAGAGACGCCAACAUCAAGCAACCCACUAUGGCCUUCUCCCUAGCCUCCUCUCAGCAGCCUCGGCUCAUCUCCAGCCCCUCCCCUGUCAUGCAGCAGGCUAUGCGGAGCCCCGCCCCUGGUCAACAGCCCAACCUCAUGCCUCACCUGAUUCGUCAGAUCCAGAGUCAGCAGGCCCUCAUGCAAGGAGCCAAUCAGCACGCAGCACUGAUGCAGCAAUCACCUGAAUCAGGAGGGUUCUUCUACGCUCCCUACGAAUAUUCCCCCUACACCCUAACCCCAUCUAUACUAGAAUACCCCAUGGACACUACUGGUGUACUAGGUAUGGCUUUCCAAACCAAAGGCUGAGAGAUGAACUCUCUCCUACACAUGGACCUCACACACACACACACACACACACACACACACACACACACACACACACACACACACACACACACACACACACACACACACACAUACACACACACACACACACACACACACACACACACACACACACACACACACACACACACACACACACACACACACAGGACAGGCUUAUCUGAAAUGGGCCUCUUGUCUUCUUAAUGAUUCUGUCACUGUUUGAUGAUGUCACUGUUUGAUGGUGUCACUGUUAACCUCCUGUGUUUUGGUGAUGUGGUUGCGCGGUGAGCAGGAGCGAUGACGGCUCAGGUGCAACGCCACAAUAUGAGAGCCCAUCCUUACCAAAGAGUAGUGAACACCGACAGAGCUGCCACGGCAACUAAUCCCUGACCUCUGCCCACUGAUGACCCACCCGUCUCCGCCCGUGCCUCGCUCGUUGCCAUGCUCUGGACAGCAGCCACGCCCCUCCCCCAGAGUCACCUCUGCCUAACCAACCAGAGACCAGCGGCCAUGGUAACGAACCUUCAGGACCCAAUCAGGACCCAGUCACCAGCCACACCCACCCAAACACUACACUAUCAAGCCAUGUGCCCCUUUUAAAGGAAACUCCACAGCCAAACCACCCAACCACAAUCCCCUUUAACCAAAUCUCCCCAAUCUGCACUGGUCAGAUAACCUGGCUCUAUUCCUUGCCCUGCACUGAGUCGAUGUGGAGCUAUAAUAUUAUAAUAUUAUAAUAAUUCAAUAAUCCAAAUAAUAACAGUCAUAUGUGUGAUCAUAAUUAUACUUGUCGAGCACACUGACCCUCCACGGCCACUAGUCUGACUGUCCCUGUUCUCAAAACGUCACUGUCACACAAAACGUUACUUAGAUCGGGUUUACCAGGUCACACCAGUUUCACACGAUGUCCUCUCGUAAGACUAGAGUCUCGACUGUUGCACCAUGCCUGCCUUUCGACAGUGAGCUGAGCCUAUCUAAUGUGUAAGAUCUAAGCUCUCCAGGUAUAGUCUCAACCACAACGUCACAGUAUUAUAGAUAUGCGGAGAACCAAGUGCCUUUUAGUUAUUUAAAUAGAUCUGUUACAGACCAGCCUUUUUAUGAAGGCUUUCUAACCUCCAUGAAAGAGGAAUAACCUGACGCCAUCUUUUCUAUCUCUCAACACAGUGAAAGAGAUGUGUAUUUUAUAGAAACCAUCUCAAUGUUGUGAUUUAACAUAAACCCACAUGUCUUCUGGGUUUAGAGUGAAGUGCCAAAGGGUUUGUUCCUUCCGUCUGUGCAGUAGGACCUUCUCAGAACAGUAUUAAUGUUGUGUGUUUAUUUUAUUUUGGGGAGUGGUGUUUAUGUAUUUGUGUGUGUGUGUGUGUCUGCCUUUGAGAACACACUCUAUCGUAUAGUGUUGUGUUAAUAGAUGUGUGUGUGUGUGUUACAUAUUUGAGCCCCUAACUAGCCUCUUGCCAAGCGGUUGUUUUUACUCCACACAAACCGUCUCCUUCAAGACAAAACAUGGACAAUACUGUACAACAUCUGUAACAUCUGUUUUAUAAUGCAAUUUUAUAUUAUAUUUUUUAUGUGAGAAAUAACAUUAAAUUAUGUUUUCAGAUAAGAACAGUAUACCUUACUAUGAAUAUAUUUUUUCAUUCAGUUUAAGAGCUAAUAUUGCCUCCAACCAAUGUGCCAUUCACAAAGUGUCCGGAGUGUUUUUAAAGUCCUGAUAUACUGAAAACCUUCAAAUGUUCUGGAAGAUUCUUGUUUUUCAAGUUAAUCUCAGUGUUGCUUACCUUCUGUAACGUCUGUGUGUAAAGGAGGAUUAACUCUGUAGUACUGAAUAUUAAUCUACUCUUUGUACUAACUGACCCGUCCUGUACUGUUAACCUCUUUACUCAUAUCUGUCUCUGCUUUGGUUUCUUUUCAAAUAUAAACUGUGUGAAUCAGAUCAUUAAAAACUGUUGUUAAUGUUUAACGUUUUAAAAGCUGGUAAAAAUAAUAAUAAUAACUCUUUGUACUGGAAAACGAUAACAUAUUAUUAAACUGGUAGUUUUAAAAAAAACUAACAAACUUUGUCACUUUUUCUCUGUAGCAUCUAAAGUUUCCUCAGAGCUUCCUUUCUGCGUACUAAUCUUAGACACACUGCAGAUACUAUUGGAAUACACUUAUAUACUUUAGAAAGAAAGUAGGCCAGACAUACUUGUUCCCCCUUCCCCCUCAUCUCUCUGGCUCUCUCCCACUCAAACAGCUAGACAGAUUUUAAAAAGGAGAUUCCAAGGUGAUGGGCAAUCUGAAGCAAAUCGAUUGUGCAACCUAACCUCACUCACUCACUCACUCACUCACUCACUCACUCACUCACUCACUCACUCACUCACUCACUCACUCACUCACUCACUCACACCUACCUACCCACACACAAACAUGCAAACACAUCUGCUGAGCGAACUAUACUGGAACACUGUGGCUCUCCCUAACGUAUAGUAUCUCUCUCAUUCCACGGUUAAUUACAGCCAGGUGUCAUAUUUUAACUGCUGUACAUUCUCUGUCUCGAAGACUGCACCCAAGCACACAUACAGUAUAUAGACCUAUCAAAUAUUUAUUUGACAGGGCCGUCAGUGGGUUGUUCUCUUCCUGCCCUUCCUGCACCCUCUCUGGGUGUAAUUGAGGUAAUUGAGCCCCAGGCUUGGCUCUGGGCCUGUGUUCCGGAUACUGCCCCUGCAGCUGUUGGGGGAGAAGGAGUAUGAUCUGGCAACCCGCUGGACUAGAGUGUGGGAGCUAGAACAUCAAUAUGACAUUCCUAUGGAAGGAGAGUGGGCUAAAAGAGAAUGAUUGAGAAUGAGUGCGAGGGAGAAGAAGAAAUGCCAAGGAAGAGAAGAUAAAAGGUUUGCCUUUCCCCAUGUGCUCCCCUUUCCUACUGCGUCAUUCUCCCAUUUGGGGUUUGAGGCAGAUGCACCUGUUAGAAACAUCUAGAACAGCGUGUGUGUGUGUGUGUGCUCUCGAUUUUGGCUGUUCCUGUUUUGUCAAGUUUUAUGAUGUUCAGUCCAGGAUCCAGUGGUGGAAAAAGUACCUUAAUAGAAAAUUACUCAAGUGAAAGUAACCCAGUAAAAUACUACUUGAGUAAAAGUCAAAGUAUUUUGUUUUAAAUAUACUUAAGUAUCAAAAGUAAAUGUAAUUGCUCAAAUAUAUGUGGGUAUCAAAAGUAAAAGUAUAAAUCGAUUCAAAUUCCUUAUAUUAAGCAAACCUGGGUAGCCAGGGGCACACCUACACUCAGACAUAAUUUACAAAUGAAGCAUUUAUGUUUAGUUAGUCAGCCCGAUCCGAGGCAGUAGAGAUGACCAAGGAUAUUCUCUUGAUAAGUGUGUGAAUUGGACAAUUUUCCUGUCCUGCUAAUCAUUCCAAAUGUAACGAGUACUUUUGGGUGUCAGGUUAAAUGUACAUUUUUUUCUUAACGAAUGUAGUGAAGUAAAAUUUUAUCAAUAUAAAUAGUAAAAGUAUUUUUUCUUAAGUACUUAACACCACUGCCAGGAUCUCUCAGACCAUCGCCAGACCAUGUGGUAAACUCCUCUCCUCUCUGUCUAAUCUAACCUACAGACAAUGCUAGCCCACAGCUUCCAACACUCGGAUAACCAUGUCAUUGCUACCUUGAAAGGAAAUUCCAUAUAGCAAGUCAAAACGUACCAAUAUCUGGGGGGUUUUGAGUGAAUAAGAAGCUGAGCUUCACUAAUCAUGUUGAGAAGCUGGUAAAGAAGCUCAAGUUGGGCCUCCCGAGUGGCGUGGCAGUCUAAGGCGUCACUACAGACCCAGGUUCGAUCCCAGGCUGUGUAACAGCCUGCCGAGACCCAUGAGGCGGCACACAAUUGGCCCAGCGUCGUUUGGGUUAGGGGAGUGUUUGGCCGGCCAGGAUUUCCUUGUCCCAUCACGCUCUAGCGACUCCUUGUGGAAGACCAGCGAGCAGUGUGUCUAGAAGCAGUGCGGCUUGGCAGGGUCGUGUUUCGGAGGACGCAUGGUUCUGGACAUUCUCCUUUCCCGAGUCCAUAGGGGAGUUGCAGCGAUGAGACAAGACUGUAACUACCAAUUGGAUAUCACGAAAUUGGGGAGAGAAAGUGGUAACAAAAAAAAGAAGCUCAUAUUGAGAAUAGGUUUUUAUUACCUUUCAUAGGGCUUGUUAUUCUUUGGAGCCAGAAAAGUGCUGAUACGGUGUACAUUCCUGUCUGUGUUGGACUACAGGGAUGUCAUUUACAUGCAAACCUCAAGUUCUACCCUGAAGACACUUGAUUCUGUGUAGCAUGCAACCUUGAAGAUUGCCACCAACCAAAUACGUCUCACACAUCACUGCGAUCUCUAUAGUGCUGUUGGCUGAUCUUCUUUGACUCCACAUAGGCUUAAAUAUUUGGUAUACUAUGAUCUACACUGAAUAUACAAACAUUAAGAACACCUUCCUAACAUUGGGUUGCACCCCCCCCAACACACACACACACUUUUUCUCUCAGAACAGCCUCAAUUCGUCAGGGCAUGGAAUCUACAAGGUGUGGAAAGCGUUCCACAGGGAUACUGGCCCAUGUUGACUCCAAAUCUUCCCACAGUUGUCAAGUUGGCUUGAUGUCCUUUGGGUGGGUGACACUACACAUAAGAAAAUGUUGAAGCAUGAAAAAUCCAGCAGUGCAGCAGUGUUGCAGCUCUUGACACAAAACAAUGUGCCUGGCACCUACUACCAGACCACAGCUUGAAACACCAGCAUCUUGUUUCCUUGGAGGAGUUUCAAAGUUUGCUUGACUCACAUGUUACUGAGGAAUGUGAUUGUCAUUAGGACUUUAUGCGGUGGUACAUAUGGUUGAUUUUUAUCUACAACGUUUGAAUGUUUCUGUAGUUGUAACGUAUAAAUGUUGUUAAUUGUGUGUCUAUGCCUGAUAUUUGUCUGAAACAUGGUCCCCCCCUGUCUUGUUUGGACUAGGUCUCACUUGAUAAAUAGAUUUGAUCUCAAUGAGACUAACCUGGAUAAAAAAAGGCUAUAUCAAAUAAAAUGGUAAAACACACUGCACUGAGCCUGUUUAAAGAG